GACGAACGCUGGCGGCGUGCUUAACACAUGCAAGUCGAACGGAAAGGCCCUGCUUUUGUGGGGUGCUCGAGUGGCGAACGGGUGAGUAACACGUGAGUAACCUGCCCUUGACUUUGGGAUAACUUCAGGAAACUGGGGCUAAUACCGGAUAGGAGCUCCUGCUGCAUGGUGGGGGUUGGAAAGUUUCGGCGGUUGGGGAUGGACUCGCGGCUUAUCAGCUUGUUGGUAGGGUAGUGGCUUACCAAGGCUUUGACGGGUAGCCGGCCUGAGAGGGUGACCGGCCACAUUGGGACUGAGAUACGGCCCAGACUCCUACGGGAGGCAGCAGUGGGGAAUAUUGCACAAUGGGCGGAAGCCUGAUGCAGCAACGCCGCGUGCGGGAUGACGGCCUUCGGGUUGUAAACCGCUUUCGCCUGUGACGAGGCGUGAGUGACGGUAAUGGGUAAAGAAGCACCGGCUAACUACGUG
rnacentral:rRNA from 1 species